AUUGAACGCUGGCGGAAUGCUUUACACAUGCAAGUCGAACGGCAGCACGGGAGCUUGCUCCUGGUGGCGAGUGGCGAACGGGUGAGUAAUAUAUCGGAACGUAUCCAAUAAUGGGGGAUAACUAAUCGAAAGGUUGGCUAAUACCGCAUACGCCCUGAGGGGGAAAGCUGGGGAUCUUCGGACCUAGCGUUAAUGGAGCGGACGAUAUCUGAUUAGCUAGUUGGUGAGGUAAAAGCUCACCAAGGCGACGAUCAGUAGCUGGUCUGAGAGGACGACCAGCCACACUGGAACUGAGACACGGUCCAGACUCCUACGGGAGGCAGCAGUGGGGAAUUUUGGACAAUGGGGGAAACCCUGAUCCAGCCAUUCCGCGUGAGUGAAGAAGGCCUUCGGGUUGUAAAGCUCUUUCGCAAGGGAAGAAACGUUACCGGUGAAUAUCCGGUGAUAAUGGCGGUACCUUGAUAAGAAGCACCGGCUAACUACGUGCCAGCCGCCGCAGUAA
rnacentral:rRNA from 1 species